rnacentral:sRNA from 1 species
GGAAGUCGCCUGUGGGAGGAGGUGGCGGUGGGCGGAACUCGUAGCGAACAGCUCGUGGAGUCCGGCCGGAAGAGCAACCGAGAUGAAGGUGAAGAUGCUGAGCCGGAAUCCGGACAAUUAUGUCCGCGAAACCAAGUUGGACUUACAGAGAGUUCCAAGAAACUAUGAUCCUGCUUUACAUCCUUUUGAGGUCCCACGAGAAUAUGUAAGAGCUUUAAAUGCUACCAAACUGGAACGAGUAUUUGCAAAACCAUUCCUUGCUUCGCUGGAUGGUCACCGUGAUGGAGUCAAUUGCUUGGCAAAGCAUCCAGAGAACCUGGCUACUGUCCUUUCUGGGGCGUGUGAUGGAGAGGCAAGUGUCAAUCUAGAUGAUAUUUUCAACUAAAAGUAGUUAUAUUACAAAUGUUUUCCCUUUAGUUUUUAGUUACUGUAGGUUUUACUUUAUUGGAUUUCAAUUUACUUCUCAAGACUAAAUUUCGUUAGGAAUACUGUUUAGUAUUUUCUUCUUUAAACCUAAGAAAUUAUAAAUGCAGUAGU